UGAACAAUAUGGAUUAGUGAGUACAUUGGAGUACAAUAAAUUUCUCAAUCAUGAUAUAUCAAUGGGAUUUUUAGAAAUUACAAUGUCAUCAAUAAAAAAAUUCAAGAAUAUUCCAUUGACUAAACAUCUUGAAAUUACAAUUGAAGGUUUGCAAAGAACCCCCUCCAAAAAAAACCCCCUCUAUAUUUACAAAAUCAUAAUAAUCUCAAAGAGUAAAAAAAAGUAUUCAUGUUGCCGCCUAGCAAUCAAUGAGAUCGAUUGAAGCCACAAGAGAUGACAGUUCAAAUCUUAGCACGAAUGUAGAAAUUUUUCCAAACAUUGAUAUUGGUGGAAUGCAAAUAAAUACCUUGUACUUGCAAACUAAUCCAAACAUCAUCAAAAUAACUUUGUCUCAAUUCCAAUGCAAAUUGAUGUCCGCUCUAUGAAUCCUCACUAGCCCGUCUCGGCCAAUCAUUGGCAUCAUAAAA